ACCUGGGAUAGCUCAGCCGGUAGAGCAUGGGGUGCUUAAUCUCAGGGUCCUGGGUUCAAGCCCCACAUUGGGCA